rnacentral:rRNA from 1 species
UACGUAGGGGGCGAGCGUUGUCCGGAUUCAUUGGGCGUAAAGAGCUCGUAGGCGGUUUGGCAAGUCGGGUGUGAAAUCUCUGGGCUCAACUCAGAGAGGCCACUCGAGACUGCUAUGACUAGAGUUCGGUAGGGGAGACUGGAAUUCCUGGUGUAGCGGUGAAAUGCGCAGAUAUCAGGAGGAACACCGGUGGCGAAGGCGGGUCUCUGGGCCGAUACUGACGCUGAGGAGCGAAAGCGUGGGGAGCGAACAGG